UUAAGUCGAAAGUUGUUCAAUUCGAAGGUAGAACCGCUGUUAUUCGACAUUCAAUUUAUGAAAUUCGAAAUAAAAAUGUUUAAAGUGGUGAGAGGAAUGAGAUCGAACGGCGUUGAUUUUCAUCCGUUUUUCUCGACCUCUUAUGCCUUUUCGACGAAAGGCACAAGCGAUAAUAAAACUAAAAAUAAAUUCGAAAAGGAUUUUAAAGACUUCAGACCAACUCAGACAGAUAAACUGGAUUUGGAAAAAGAACCGCUGGAAGAGUGGAAAGACGGGGUCAAUCCGCACACCGGUGAGAUUGGCGGUCCAAAAGGUGUCGAACCGACAAGAUACGGUGACUGGGAGCGUAAAGGAAGAGUCACAGAUUUCUAGUUAUGAGCAACAAUGUGAUCAAAUGAUAUAUAGACUGUAGUUAUUGAAUUAAUAAA